rnacentral:lncRNA from 1 species
GAAAUUAUAUCCGAGUAUGGGAAGUAAAUCUCAGGUUAAGUUCAACCAAUCUACUCUGCUGUUCUUCAUUCUAGCCUGCUCCCUUCGCAUGGAGAAGCUUUUAUGUUUAACAUAUCUACAGACCUGGCUGCAGGCCAUUUCAAGUCAACAUUGCGGAUGACAUCUGAGACGUUAGCAGUGUAAGGCACACUAGACUCUUGAAUAAUUCUCAUUCCAUAAGUCUUGACCAAAGGAUCGUGGGUUCCAAUCAUGC